rnacentral:rRNA from 1 species
UACAGAGGUGGCAAGCGUUGUUCGGAAUUACUGGGCGUAAAGGGCUCGUAGGCGGCCAACUAAGUCCGACGUGAAAUCCCAAAGCUUAACUUUGGAACUGCGUCGGAUACUGGAUGGCUUGAAUUCGGGAGAGGGAUGCAGAAUUCCAGGUGUAGCGGUGAAAUGCGUAGAUAUCUGGAGGAAUACCGGUGGCGAAGGCGGCAUCCUGGACCGACAUUGACGCUGAGGAGCGGAAGCUAGGGGAGCAAACGGG